UACUGAUUGAUGCCUGAUGGACAUAGUAAA
rnacentral:piRNA from 1 species